UACAGGGGGCUCGAGCGUUAAUCGGAAUUACUGGGCGUAAAGGGUGCGCAGGCGGCGUCGCAAGUCAGGCGUGAAAUCCCCGGGCUUAACCUGGGAACUGCACUUGAAACUACGAUGCUGGAGUAUGGCAGAGGGAGGUGGAAUUCCACGUGUAGCGGUGAAAUGCGUAGAGAUGUGGAGGAACACCGAUGGCGAAGGCAGCCUCCUGGGCCAAUACUGACGCUCAUGCACGAAAGCGUGGGGAGCAAACAGG
rnacentral:rRNA from 1 species